UACGGAGGGUGCGAGCGUUGUCCGGAAUCACUGGGCGUAAAGGGCGCGUAGGCGGCCUGAUAAGUAGGGGGGUGAAAUCCUGCGGCUUAACCGCAGGGCUGCCUUCUAAACUGUCAGGCUAGAGCACAGUAGAGGCGAGUGGAAUUCCUGGUGUAGCGGUGAAAUGCGCAGAUAUCAGGAGGAACACCAAUUGCGAAGGCAGCUCGCUGGGACGUGACUGACGCUGAGACGCGAAAGCGUGGGGAGCAAACAGG
rnacentral:rRNA from 1 species